rnacentral:rRNA from 1 species
UGGGGAAUAUUGGACAAUGGGGGGAACCCUGAUCCAGCCAUGCCGCGUGUGUGAAGAAGGCCUUAUGGUUGUAAAGCACUUUAAGCGAGGAGGAGGGUACUGGUAUUAAUACUACCAGGUACUGGACGUUACUCGCAGAAUAAGCACCGGCUAACUCUGUGCCAGCAGCCGCGGUAAUACAGAGGGUGCGAGCGUUAAUCGGAUUUACUGGGCGUAAAGCGUGCGUAGGCGGCUUUUUAAGUCGGAUGUGAAAUCCCCGAGCUUAACUUGGGAAUUGCAUUCGAUACUGGGAAGCUAGAGUAUGGGAGAGGAUGGUAGAAUUCCAGGUGUAGCGGUGAAAUGCGUAGAGAUCUGGAGGAAUACCGAUGGCGAAGGCAGCCAUCUGGCCUAACACUGACGCUGAGGUACGAAAGCAUGGGGAGCAAACAGG